AGUUGCUAACCCAAAUUUAAAAUGGACAAUAGGACAUAGAACACAACAUAUAAUGGAUAUAUUAACAGAAAAAUGUACAAACAUACAAAUACAAAAACAAUUGAAAAGAAAUGAAAUGAAUUUCUGUAAAUCUGUUAUAUACCCAACCCAGAAUUACUAUAAAAAACAACAUAGAAAAUAUAAGAAAAGAAAUAAUCAAAAACCAUAC
rnacentral:lncRNA from 1 species